rnacentral:rRNA from 1 species
CCUACGGGUGGCAGCAGUGAGGAAUAUUGGUCAAUGGGCGAGAGCCUGAACCAGCCAAGUCGCGUGAGGGAGGACGGUCCUAUGGAUUGUAAACCUCUUUUGUCGGGGAGCAACGGGCCAGAGUUGUGCCCUCUGAGAGUACCCGAAGAAAAAGCAUCGGCUAACUCCGUGCCAGCAGCCGCGGUAAUACGGAGGAUGCGAGCGUUAUCCGGAUUUAAUGGGUGUAAAGGGAGCGUAGGCGGCAGGGCAAGUCCGGCGUGAAAACCCAUGGGUUAAACAUGGAACUGCUGUUGAAACUGGGGAGCUAGAGUGCACGAGAGGUAAGCGGAAUGCGUGGUGUAGCGGUGAAAUGCUUAGAUAUUAGGAGGAACCCCGAUGGCGAAGGCAGCUUACUGGUCUAUAACUGACGUUGAGGCACGAAAGCGUGGGGAGCAAACAGGAUUAGAUACCCCAGUAGUC